AAAUUCAAAAAAGCGCCAGGACUAAGUGAUGCUCAGUUAGAAAUGAAGUUAGUGAAAAGAUGGUUUUUUGUUAAAGGAAACUCGACUCACAUUCGUUCGCUGAGUAAGUUCAAGCUACCAAAUCGAAGAUUUGGACUUUCACUUACGUUGACGAGGUUGGGGAGUAUCGAAACUUCGGCGGGUGCCCCACGGUAUCGCACUACCGUAAACGGCUGGUAAAACUGUAAAGCGAUUUGCAGCACAAAUUCAGCUUGGUGUUAAAA
rnacentral:ncRNA from 2 species